UGGGGAAUAUUGCACAAUGGGCGCAAGCCUGAUGCAGCCAUGCCGCGUGUGUGAAGAAGGCCUUCGGGUUGUAAAGCACUUUCAGCGAGGAGGAAGGGUAGUGUGUUAAUAGCACAUUGCAUUGACGUUACUCGCAGAAGAAGCACCGGCUAACUCCGUGCCAGCAGCCGCGGUAAUACGGAGGGUGCAAGCGUUAAUCGGAAUUACUGGGCGUAAAGCGCACGCAGGCGGUUUGUUAAGUCAGAUGUGAAAUCCCCGCGCUUAACGUGGGAACUGCAUUUGAAACUAGCAAGCUAGAGUCUUGUAGAGGGGGGUAGAAUUCCAGGUGUAGCGGUGAAAUGCGUAGAGAUCUGGAGGAAUACCGGUGGCGAAGGCGGCCCCCUGGACAAAGACUGACGCUCAGGUGCGAAAGCGUGGGGAGCAAACA
rnacentral:rRNA from 1 species